AUGGAUUCAUCUGAUCAUGAAGUGCGUAAUGACAGUAGAUAUCAAGUUAAAGUCAACCAUGACGUCACUGAAACCAUAAUCCCAACGAGAGGACUCCGCCAAGGUGACCCUUUGUCACCUUAUCUUUUUAGCAUUUGUGCUGACGGUUUUUCAGCCUUACUACAUGAGGCUGAAAGACAUAAAAGAAUUGAGGGGAUAAAGAUAUCCUUUAGAGCUCCAAGUGUUAACCAUCUUCUAUUUGCAGAUGAUUCCGUGUUAUUGAUUAAAGCUGUUAAAAGCAAUGCGCAAGAAGUGGAUAGAAUUUUGAACAUAUAA
rnacentral:rRNA from 1 species